rnacentral:rRNA from 1 species
UUCUUUGAAACAAACUUGCUUUGGCGGUGGGCCCAGCCUGUCGCCUGAGGUCUAAACUUACAACCAAUUUUUUAUUAACUUGUCACACCAGAUUAUUACUAAAUAGUCAAAACUUUCAACAACGGAUCUCUUGGUUCUCGCAUCGAUGAAGAACGCAGCGAAAUGCGAUACGUAAUAUGAAUUGCAGAUAUUCGUGAAUCAUCGAAUCUUUGAACGCACAUUGCGCCCUCUGGUAUUCCGGAGGGCAUGCCUGUUUGAGCGUCGUUUCUCCCUCAAACCGCUGGGUUUGGUGUUGAGCAAUACGACUUGGGUUUGCUUGAAAGACGGUAGUGGUAAGGCGGGAUCGCUUUGACAAUGGCUUANGUCUAACCAAAAACAUUGCUUGCGGCGGUAACGUCCACCACGUAUAUCUUCAAACUUUGACCUCAAAUCAGGUAGGACUACCCGCUGAACUUAAGCAUAUCAAUAAGCGGAGGA